rnacentral:rRNA from 1 species
GAUGAACGCUAGCUACAGGCUUAACACAUGCAAGUCGAGGGGUAGCAGGGUAGCAAUACCGCUGACGACCGGCGCCUGGGUGAGGAACACGUAUCCAACCUUCCCAUAACUCGGGGAUAGCCUUUCGAAAGAAAGAUUAAUACCAGAUAGUACUGAACAAAGGCAUCUCUGAUAAGAUAAAGAUGUAUUGGUUAUGGAUGGAGAUGCGUUCCAUUAGAUAGUUGGUGAGGUAACGUCUUACCAAGUCUUCGAUGUAUAGGGGUUCUGAGAGGAAGGUCCCCCACAUUGGUACUGAGACACGUACCAAACUCGUACGGGAGGCAGCAGUGAGGAAUAUUGGUCAAUGGGCGAGAGCCUGAACCAGCCAAGUAGCGUGAAGGAUGAAGGUCCUAUGGAUUGUAAACUUCUUUUAUAGUAGAAUAAAGUGAUCCACGUGUGGAUUUUUGUAUGUAUACUAUGAAUAAGGAUCGGCUAACUCCGUGCCAGCCGCCGCCGUAA